rnacentral:rRNA from 1 species
GCGGGCUGGACCUCUCGGGGUUACAGCCUUGCUGAAUUAUUCACCCUUGUCUUUUGCGUACUUCUUGUUUCCUUGGUGGGUUCGCCCACCACUAGGACAAACAUAAACCUUUUGUAAUUGCAAUCAGCGUCAGUAACAAAUUAAUAAUUACAACUUUCAACAACGGAUCUCUUGGUUCUGGCAUCGAUGAAGAACGCAGCGAAAUGCGAUAAGUAGUGUGAAUUGCAGAAUUCAGUGAAUCAUCGAAUCUUUGAACGCACAUUGCGCCCUUUGGUAUUCCAAAGGGCAUGCCUGUUCGAGCGUCAUUUGUACCCUCAAGCUUUGCUUGGUGUUGGGCGUCUUGUCUCUAGCUUUGCUGGAGACUCGCCUUAAAGUAAUUGGCAGCCGGCCUACUGGUUUCGGAGCGCAGCACAAGUCGCACUCUCUAUCAGCAAAGGUCUAGCAUCCAUUAAGCCUUUUUUUCAACUUUUGACCUCGGAUCAGGUAGGGAUACCCGCUGAACUUAAGCAUAUCAAUAAGCCGGGAGGAAAAUUCA